rnacentral:rRNA from 1 species
CCUACGGGCGGCUGCAGUGGGGAAUAUUGGACAAUGGGCGAAAGCCUGAUCCAGCCAUGCCGCGUGUGUGAAGAAGGCCUUCGGGUUGUAAAGCACUUUCAGUGGGGAAGAAAGCCUUGGGGCUAAUACCCUCGAGGAAGGACAUCACCCACAGAAGAAGCACCGGCUAACUCCGUGCCAGCAGCCGCGGUAAUACGGAGGGUGCGAGCGUUAAUCGGAAUUACUGGGCGUAAAGCGCGCGUAGGCGGUCUGAUAAGCCGGUUGUGAAAGCCCCGGGCUCAACCUGGGAACGGCAUCCGGAACUGUCAGGCUAGAGUGCAGGAGGGGAAGGUAGAAUUCCCGGUGUAGCGGUGAAAUGCGUAGAGAUCGGGAGGAAUACCAGUGGCGAAGGCGGCCUUCUGGACUGACACUGACGCUGAGGUGCGAAAGCGUGGGUAGCAAACAGGAUUAGAUACCCCAGUAGUC